AAACCAACUGUAUUGCUCACCCAGGGAGGAGAAAAUAGGAUUUGAAUACUAUUCCAUCCCAAUGAAGCUGUGUAGCAAUGAAACACAGAUCCACAAACACUCAUUCUGUUGUUAGGAAUGAGCUGGAACUGAGAGUCGGCAUGUGGAAGAAGAGAAAGGAUUUAAAGAAUUGAAAACAAAAUUUAAAAAUGCAAAUAAAGAAGAAAACAAGCAAGCAAACGCUGGAAGCCUCAGCACUGUCUACUGUACACUGAUGACUAUUUGAGAACAUGUAGCUACUGAACUCUGGUGACCAUUAAUUUUGUCAAGAAAAAGAGAGCAACCAGUGACACCUUUCCUGAAAAAGCCCAUAGAAUCAUCAGAGAAUUUUCCAAGGAGAAGAGCUGGGGCAGAGUACUACUACAACAUCUCUGACAUGUGAAGCUGCUGGGAGCUAAUUUUCCCCACUAAACGACCUUACAUGGUUCAGUAACAAUCUACUGCAGGAAUCACUGACAUGGAUGAUUGUUCUUUGACUUUUAACCUCCAGACUCUUCACCAUCUCAAAGGAAAACAGCUCUCAGGCCACAGGACUACGUCUAUAAAUCUUCAAAAUCUUGUACCUAGGGCUGUCUCAUCUGUUGUAAACCUGGAGCUUUGCACAGUUUUAGGUGUUGGAGAUCUCUACCUUUUGGAUGCAGAGUAGCCUAGAGAGUAUGUGAACAUGG